rnacentral:rRNA from 1 species
UACGUAGGGCGCAAGCGUUGUCCGGAAUUAUUGGGCGUAAAGAGCUCGUAGGCGGCCAGUUGCGUCUGCUGUGAAAUCCCGGGGCUCAACCCCGGGCGUGCAGUGGAUACGGGCUGGCUAGAGGCAGGCAGGGGAGAACGGAAUUCCCGGUGUAGCGGUGAAAUGCGCAGAUAUCGGGAGGAACACCGGUGGCGAAGGCGGUUCUCUGGGCCUGUACUGACGCUGAGGAGCGAAAGCUAGGGGAGCAAACAGG